UACGUAGGGUGCAAGCGUUAAUCGGAAUUACUGGGCGUAAAGCGUGCGCAGGCGGUUAUGUAAGACAGGUGUGAAAUCCCCGGGCUUAACCUGGGAACUGCAUUUGUGACUGCAUAGCUAGAGUACGGUAGGGGGGGAUGGAAUUCCGCGUGUAGCAGUGAAAUGCGUAGAUAUGCGGAGGAACACCGAUGGCGAAGGCAAUCCCCUGGACCUGUACUGACGCUCAUGCACGAAAGCGUGGGAGCAAACAGG
rnacentral:rRNA from 1 species